GACGAACGCUGGCGGCGUGCUUAACACAUGCAAGUCGAACGGAAAGGCCCUGCUUUUGUGGAGUGCUCGAGUGGCGAACGGGUGAGUAACACGUGAGUAACCUGCCCUUGACUUUGGGAUAACUUCAGGAAACUGGGGCUAAUACCGGAUAGGAGCUCCUGCUGCAUGGUGGGGGUUGGAAAGUUUCGGCGGUUGGGGAUGGACUCGCGGCUUAUCAGCUUGUUGGUGGGGUAGUGGCUUACCAAGGCUUUGACGGGUAGCCGGCCUGAGAGGGUGACCGGCCACAUUGGGACUGAGAUACGGCCCAGACUCCUACGGGAGGCAGCAGUGGGGAAUAUUGCACAAUGGGCGGAAGCCUGAUGCAGCAACGCCGCGUGCGGGAUGACGGCCUUCGGGUUGUAAACCGCUUUCGCCGGUGACGAAGCGUGAGUGACGGUAAUGGGUAAAGAAGCACCGGCUAACUACGU
rnacentral:rRNA from 1 species